AAACAAAGACGCCACAAAGUCCACAUAGUCUUGUAUAUAUAUAUGGACAACAAUUGGAUAACAAAAAGGGAACAUUAUAUAAGUAGUUUAUUAUCUGGAUUCCGUUUUCAGCUGGUAUCGUAUCACGUUUUUUAAGUCCUUAAGAUAAUAAAGUGGAAGGACUAGUCAACAGCUGCAUUCAUCAGACUAUUCAAUAGCCACCUUCAUAUGUUAGUCAAACUUUGGUCCAAAUCACCUAUUUGUUUUUAUCCCAAUAUUAUAGUCUAUAAAUACUAAUCACCCAAAGUUCACAAGACUCAGGCUUCCAACUCUUAUAAAUAAGAGAGACAAAGAGAUACUACAUACUAAUGCCAAGUUCAUCGAAGCUCCUUGCGGUGAUGAUUUUCUCAUUCAUGGCGCUUUUCAUAAUAUCCCAGGCUCGAACCCUUUCUCCUGGUAGGAAAUUAACUCAGUACCCGGCUCCGUCGUACGGAUACACUCCUGUUCCACCUUAUUGUUUCAACCGACCUGGUUGUCGCCCAUGAGAGUUUCAAUUUGGGUCACAUGAACUAUUAUCAAAUAAAAUAAGGUGAUGUAUUAUAUAUAAUGGGUUAUGGGUAUCUUCGUAUAUUAUCAUGAUUUUCUGGGGAAUAAAAUGCUUGUGAGAUCCAUGUUAUAAAUACAGUAUGUUGCAGUUUGUAAUGGAUAAGUGAUAUUUAUGUUUCUUUUGUAUGGUCAUCAUGAUGUCUCUGUUUAAUGAACAAAAGUUACCAUAAUUUUUUGUUAUCGACCCCUCAAAGCUAGUUACUGAGAUCCUCUCAGUCACACCAGUUCGCCCUAGUUUCUCUCCUUGACACGACUAUCGAGGAGCCGCAGCCGUCAACGUUUUCCGACGCCAGCGGCACUGUAGCUCGCCGGCGUCGCCUCUGUCCUUCUCUACUCAGAGCUUCCUCGUUCACUUGCUUCAUUUUAGUCUCUUCUGCUCCUGUGUUCAAAACCUUGCUCCCUGUUAUGGCUUCUCUUCUAUCUCUAUCUGAGGUUCUUUGUUUGAAACCAAUCAUUGGUCUCUUCGUUGAGAAGUCCCAGCAGGCUGACUCGUGUGAUUCUUCGUUUCCAUGUGACCUCUUGCCGUUCUUGUGCUUUAGAUCGACGAGCUACGGAUCUGUUUUUGAUUGGGUUUUCGUGCGGAUCUGUUUGGGCCUGAUCCGAAGAGUCUAUCAUCAAAGUUUCUCGAGCCGUUGCGACUUAAUAGGCAAAUGUUCUACUCCACUGUCCCCAUACAGGCUGUACCGUCGACGACUUUGCGUGUAGUCCUACUCUGGCAGUCUCCCCGCAUCUCACUCCAACGCCAUCCAAUUUCAGCAUUUCCCGACUCUGUCAGUUGCAAUCCUUCAGGCAAAGUUCUUCUUUGGGCUACAGCCUACAUGCAUGGAGUAUUCUCUUAAACCAUCGUCGUUAUUAAUGUGAGUAACCAUUUUCUUAAUUAUUUUGUGGUCGUCAUAUUCAAUAAAAUAGACUCUUCUUGAUUAUCAAUUGGGAGCACUAUUUUGGUCCUCGUUAAGACAACAUUUUAUCAACUCCUUGCAAGUUGGUAGAAAAGGCAGAAAAGAGAAAUAAUCCUAACUAUCACAAAAUCAAAAGUUUUGCUCAAAAAUUAGCAUACAAUUAAAAACAUUACCACAAUAGCACUAAUGAAAUAUUAAAAAUACAUUUUUGUUAUUUUUUUUGGUUUAGAUUUAUGAUUAUAGUUUUGGAUAUAGUAUUUAGGAGGUUGGAUUAAGGUUAGAGUUUAAAUAUAAGAUACUUUUGUAUUUUUAUUGAUUAAUAAAUGUUAUUUUAGGAAAUUUGGUCUUUGAAUACUAGUUUGUUACAAAAACUGAAAAUGAUAUUUAAGAAAUUUGCCCCAAAAAGAAAGAAAAAUCAAAUUUUCUAAAUUACUUUUACAACCGAAAGGUAACAGUAUCUAAAUGACAAAAUUUAAGAACAAUACUAAAUUAGAUAUCUAAUAGAUGUUAUUUUGACAAUUUUCUUUUAAAUUGUUCAAGUUUUUGGAUGAACUUAAUUUUUAAUAGAUGUUUCUUAAAAUAUCUCAAAUUUAAGUAAAAAUUAGUAACUUUUAGUAAAACAAUUGAAAAACAUUGAAGGUAUAUGACUAUUAAUGUUUUUACUUAUCGUUUCAAUUAUAUCACUAAUUUAAAAAUUGUCUGAAUCUGCAUUUAAAAACUUAUGUAGUUCAUCAGUGAUUACAUUUCAUGAAAACUUUGUGUCUUGGUCAAUUCUUCUUAAGACCACGAUACUCACUCAAGACUACCGAGCAAAGGAAGUCAUGCGAAAGCAAACAGAAAUAUCUAAGCCAGGUGGCUUUUGUAAAGCUACUAGUAGGGUAUGGAGUGACAAAAACGAUUUGUUAUACCUAUUAUCAACUUAUAAAUUUUGUAGAUAAGUCAGAAUAUAUUGUAAGGUUGAUACUCCAUAGUUGGGACCGUGUAGAGAGGUUUGAUGUUUGAUAGCAGCAAUGUUAUCUCCAACGUCCAUGCAUGUCACUAUCAGUUUUCGAUAUGUGGUUUCUUUUUUUUUAUGGAACUUUAAUUUUCAUUAAACCGAUAUUAACCGGUCAUCAUUGACAAAGAGCAAAAGGAUAAUUUUGCUACCGGGUGAAAUCAAACAAAAUCUAUUUACUUAACCUUUUCCAAAUACAGUAAAACCUCUAUAAAUUAAUAAUGUUGGAAUUUUGAAAUUUUAUUAAUUUAUAGAGAUAUUAAUUUAUAGAAGUUUUCUUAUUUAGAUUUCUCAUUUUAAGAUAUAUUUAUUUUAAGAUAAAAAAGUAUUUGAUUUUAGUGUAUAGACAUUCAUUAUUAUAUUUUAAAAUUUGGCAUUUAUAUUAAUUUUAUAAUAUUAUUUAGUGUAUAUAAUAUAUAUUGCAUAGAACUUAAAUGUGGUUUUAGAUAUAAUAUUAUUAAAUCUCAUCAAAAAUAUAUUAAGAGUUAAAAAAAUAUAAAAUAACUUCAUUGUGAAUAUAAAUAAACAAUAUAAUAAUAGGUUUUUACUUAUAUAAAAUAUGUAUACAUAUAAAUUAUUAAUUUAUAAUUUUAAUGAGACCAUAUAUUUACAUAGAAUUUUCUAAAAACUCGAUUUGUUUCAAAUUUAGAACAUGCCCAAAUUGGGACCGGCGAAAUUUAUUAAUUUAUAGAGAUUAUUAAUUUAUCGAGUAUUAAUUUGUAGAGGUUCUACUGUACGAGCAUAAUUAAGAUAAAUAUAGAAGCUGAUUUAUCAAUAUUAUUACCAAAUAUCAUAGGUUUAUGUGUUACAAAAAAAGCAUAGGUUUUAUAUAAGGAAACUUGAAUCACAAUAUGCUGAAUAGAAAUUCUGAUCCGAUGAGCCCGCCAAAAAAAAAAAGAGACCCAAAGCAUCAAAAAUAAUUCUAAACUUGCCAACAAAGAACAAGCUUAAAGUUAAAAAGAAAAGAAACAAGUGACAACAAUUUUAACACCAGGAUACAAAGCCCUUCUAAUUAAAUCUACCGGGAAAACCUGGAUGAUGUAGAGAUUAGCAAAUCAGAAGUGGUCUGACUAUGACACACCAAAGGUGCCUCCACGAAGCUUCAAACGGAGGAGGUUGGCAUUCAUGCCCCGGAACACUAAACUAAGAAGAUUCCAACCAAAACAAUCCAAGAGCUAAAACGGGAGAAAACUUAGAUUUAAGUUCGUGGAUAACAAGAAAAAGGGAUAUUAUAUUAUAUAUGUAGUUUAUUAGUUUCCGUUUAGGUCAGUUGGAAUUAUAUCACGUUUUAAGUCCUUGAGAUAAUGUAGUGGAAGGACUAUUCGAUAGCUACAUUCAUCAGACUAGUCAAACUUUGGUCCAAAUUACUUAUUUGUUGUCACCCCCAACAAAAUUUACUAGGCCGGGAAUGUGGAAACUAUUAACAGAAUCUUUGGUUUUCCAUUGAAUUAGAUAACUUAGAUUUAAGGUUAAGUUGUGUUUUUAGUCAGAAUUUUUUUAGUAAUACAAUGGUCAAUGGUUAAUGGUUAAGGCUCUGAGCGUACGAAGAGGAACCCUUCACGAUAAGGAAAGCCAGAAGGGUAUAACUGUAAAUUAAUAAAACUAUUUUCUUAAAUCUCAAUAUUGCUGUCUAUCUUUAUAUAUAAAAGAGACUUUCAAUCGCUCCUGGUGAUGCCAACAAGGACGACACGUCAGAAAUUUGGGUGACGUCGAGGCGACACAUGUCCCACUUCCAAAAACGCAUCACUUCAUUUGAGUAAGAUUCAUUUAAGUAAGAAUCAAUUGGUGCGAGUUUUUAAUGUAUUGUGGGCUUUAUGUUUGAAUGAUUAAACCAGUUGGCCGGCCCGAUUGAACCAACCCUAUUCUCUUACGCGAAGAGUAAAACUUUACGGCUCUUUGUUUGAUAACGACGUCUGAGCUUCAUCCUCAUCGCCGAAACGCUUCCAGUUACAAAAUCUUUGCAUCAAACCCCUGGCUUCAAUGCAAAUUUUCUGUGUGACGAUAAAAAGAUUAGCCUUUCUCCUCUGAAACCCAUCUUCUCAGUCCGUCAAAAAAAAACGCAGUAAACUUAUAUUCUGAAAACGAAGUCAUCCAUCUUUCUCUCUGAUUCGAAGAUCGCACGCUGCUCCUCCACCGAUUGAGAAGCUGAAGUCGAUGACAAAGAGUGGAACUUGAAUUGAGAUUUGUCGAUUUUCUCAAAUAAUUGCAAAGAACCACCUUCAGGAAGCGAUCAGACUACUCCGUCUCCGCCAUGGUAUCCUCGCCGGUUCAUCAUACGGAUUGUCUGUGAGCACGAGUACUCGAUUUUGAAGACAUAAAAGGUUCUUCUAUGAGUUUCUCAUAUUUCUUAAGGUCGGUUUUGGAUUAUUUGAGAAAAUUUCACUUUCUGGGUUUUUUUUUUUGGAACCCGUUGAAGAACACACUGGUUGGAGCUGAGGCUAACCACAACUUGAAUAGCCAAGUGAACUCCAUAACCGUGGGAUGUUGGGAGCUCAACACGCUCUUGACCCAUUGACCACAGUGAAGGCAUGCGUGAACAAUGCAGGUAUAGCACUGAUCCAACACGGGUGGCAUCCAAUGUCGUUCAUCACCAUCUCUGGAGAGAUUGACUCUAGGGCGAUUGAGAAGAGUUCUAAGAUCACUGGUUCUUGGUGGUCUCUCUGAGAAAUAUCAUGGCUUAUAAAACUUAUGGGUGGUUGAUGGAAUCAACGAUAUCGAUGUGGAGACAUUGCGGAUAUUGAUGGUUUGAAGAUGGAUUAAUGUGAGCUUUGAUAUGGAGCUUUUUGGAUCAAACUCUUCUGAUGAGCAGCUUACCGGAGUUAGGAUUCUUAGACAGUUUGCAGUCAAUGAAUGGUAUUCAGGUGAGACACUUGAGAAGAUCAUAAUCAACGUCCCUGUUGUUGAAAGGUUUUACAACUCAAAAUGUAUAGACUUUACAGAUAAGUGAUGACACAGUUGCUAACUUUUUUUUGUUGGUGGAGAUGCUGAACUGAAAAGAUCUGCAAAAGGAAGAGAUUAGGAGAUCAGCUGCUGAUAUACUAUCAAAACUCGCUAGCAAACAGCAGAACUCUUUAAGAGUCGCUGGGAUAUCUGGUGCAAUGGGAUCUAUUUUUUCGUUAUUAGAGAGCACGAGAUCAUCAGGUGAAGCACCUGAUGAGAUUGGAGAGAAAAGGGUUCCGUGACUCUAAUCUACACUAUGACUUCUGUAGAUUCAACAGUUUGGGACUCUUGAUCCUGAAGAAGCUAGCGAAAGAUCAUGAUAACUGUGGAAACCUCGGCAACACAAGGGGUUUUCUCCCGAGGAUUAUUGAUUUCACGCACGUGGACCAAGUUCUAUUGUGGGAUGAGAACGCAGACGUUACCAGGUCACAGGUCCUUGAACGGUCGUGCAGCUGGUGAAAAUGUUAGUCAGCACGACCGAGAACACAAGGAAGUGUCUCAGGAGGGAGAUCUCAGAGAUUGUUUUUACGGUGAGCAACGGGAGGGAUGUGCUGAGACACGGAAGCUCGAGAGAGAAUUGGUGGAACGGUGGUGUUUUGAAAGGGCUGUUCAACAUUUUCUUUAAAACAUAUGGAGACGAUGGGAAUCAGGGAUGCGUGAGGAUCGCUGCAAGAAGACUCGUGGAAGCACUUGAAGUUCGAUCGAUCCGUGUCAAUGUUGCAAGUUUAUAAUAGAAUGGCUAUUCUCAGAUGUUCCAGAUAAAAGAUGGUCAUAUCAAUAAGAAGAAGAAGAAAAAAGACAACUGACAAAUGUUUUACAAACUACAUAUGUAGCUUCGUGUAAAUGUAAUUGAAGGUUAAUAUCAUCAUCUAAGUGCUAAUCCUUUAUCAACCAUAGUUGAGAAAUAAGUAUAAGUUCUUUGAUUGCAGUACCAACAAGCUUGACUUGCAAGUAAUUGAAUUUUGUUUUAUUUCACUGAAUCCAGACUUACGAAAAUAAAAACGACGAAUAUUAGGAAUUUUAUGAAAAUUUGUAUAAAUACAUACAUAACUCCAUUACAGGAAAACUAAAAUAAUCCAUAAGAUAUCAAAAAUAUAACAACAAAAUUAUUUAAAUACAUAAAUAAUCCAUAAUACAUAAUUUCAAGAAUAAGUAUGAAAAAUUCAUAAGAACAACAAAUAGAAGAAUUCAUUUAUGAUUUUGCUAUUACGUUGUAUAUCAAACCAAGUUGAAAGAAAAUUAAAAAGAAAAAUAAUGUAUCAGAAUAAGAUAACGAGGUUGUAUUUUUGUUAAUCAAAUAAACACAAUUAAUACUAAUAAAUUAGACCAAGUAAAAUGAGAAAAUAUGAAAACAUUUGGUUGGUAGAAAUUUAAACAAACCACAUUAAUAUAAAAACAAUUGUUAAGCUGUAAAAUUAAAAAAAAAAAGAAAUAGAAUAUUGCAUCCAAAGAUAUCACUAAUACUAGAUAUAAAACUAGAUGAUCUAAAUAAAAUAAACAUAUCAAAAUAUCCACAUUGCCAAAAUAAAAAUAGCCCAUUAAAUUUUAACAUUAUAUUAUGAAAUAUAGUUAAUCGCGGCAUAAUGUAAGGUUGAAUAUUAUAACAUCAAACAAUUUUAACCAUAGUAAUUGAUAUACAUAAAAUAAUAAUUUCUAAAAUGAAUUUUAAAAUAUAUAGAUAAAAUGAUUGUAAAACAAUUAUGAACAUGGUAUUUUUUAUUAAAAUAAAUUAAAGAUUUUAAAUAAAUUUGUAUUAUUAUUUUGUUUAUUCGUCCGGCCUUAGGACGGGUUUGCCCUAGUAAAUAAUAAUCACCUAAAGUUCGCAUAACUCAGAUUCCAAGUCUUGCAAAGUAGACAUACAAAAAGAUACUAGCGAACUACAUAGUGAUGGCUAGGAUGUCAAGUACCUCGAAGCUCCUUGUGGUGAUGAUUUUCUCUUUCAUGGCGCUUUCCAUAAUCUCCCAUGCUCGAACUUUUUCUCCUGGUCGGAAAUUAACUGGUUAUCCGAUUCCGACGUACGGAGGUCCCCCGUACUCUCCUGUUCCUACGAGAUGUUUCAACCCACCUUAUUGUCGUCCAUGAGAGUUUCAGUUUGGUCACAUGAAUUAUUAUCUGAUAAAAUAAGGUUGGAUGUAUAUGGGUAUCUUCAUAUAUUUUUCAUCAUUGCUGGAGAAUAAGAUGCUUGUGUGAGACGAUGGAAAAAAAAAGAUGCUUGUGUGAAAUCCAUGUAAUAAAUAUAGCAGGUUGCUGUUUGCAAUGAAAUAAAUGAUAAUUAUGUA